UAACUUUUAUUUUGAUUUCUUAAUCAUCUUUCCAUUUCUGUGUUCCAUGAAGUUAAGUAUCAUCCUACCAUGCCAUGAAGAAACUCAUUGUGAAUUCCCAGGAAGGACCAUGGUGCCAUACAGUAAUACACGCCGAGGUGUCCUGGGUUUUCCCACCUCCAUGCUCCAUCGGGAGCACCACAAAGCCUGCCUCUGCCCUAGCAACCACCGCGCCGCCGCCUCUGCCCCGGCAACAGGCCGUCGUCAGGGCUGCUGACCCCUGACCCCACCACAGCUGCUCAGCCAUCGCAUAUCCCACAAUCCCCUGCUCUCUGCACGCUCCCGUGACCAGGGGUCAUACACGGGAAUCAGCCGUGAAUAAGACUGCAUGGCUUUCACUUUGUCUUCUGUCCAUUCCUGAAAGAGGAGGAGAGGAGGUGAGACAAGGAAAGAAAGAGGGAAAAUCAGAGGAGAAGAGGACAGAAAAGAAGGAUUGAAGAUUUGAAGAGAGAAGACAAGGAGAUGAUAUGAUAAGAAAUAAGGAAAACAGAGAAGAUGAGAGUGUAAAGUGUAAAAAUAGAGGAGAUGAGGAAAGGAAAUGACAAGAAAGGAAAGAAUGGAAAUGAGGGGGAAAACGGAGGAAAGAGAAGAAAUGAAAAGCAGAAGAGAUGUAAUGAAAGAAAAGGAAAAAAGGAGAAAAUAUGAGACGACAACGGGAAAAUAAAGAAGCAUUUAAAGGGAAGACAAGAAAAGGGGGGCAGAGACAAGGAGAGGAGAGGAGAUGGAAGGAAACAAGGAGAGGAAAAAUGAGCAAAGAUAGGAGAAGACAAGACAAGAAAAAGAGUAGGAAGAAGUAGAAGAGUGGUGGUAAAAGGAAAGGAAACAUGGAGUUAUGAGGAAAAGAAACAGAGAAGAUGAGAAAAGGAGAGGAGAGGAAACAAAAAGAGGGGAGAUAAGAUGACUGGAAAGGAAAAGAGCCAAUUUAGACAAAGAAAAUUGGAGAUGAGAAAAGAAGAGAAGAGAGGAAGGAAACAGGGAUUGCAGUGAAAUGCAGAGGUUAAUGAUUUGCACUAAUGGAAAACAAAUGAUUACAUUAAUGAUGUUUUCUAAAGGUUCUUUGUACACAUUGUACACACAUGCUAGAACAAACUGGAGACCACCGGAUGGGAUCACACAAGCCCAUGAGUACUCAGUAGUUAUUACAGCAUUAUGACACGAGGACUCAUGGGUCGGACCACUCCCAUCUUUGAUCUCGGCCUUCAUUUAGAUCUCAAAUAGACACCUGUGCAGUUACGUGACUGAAUUGCACGGUUGUGACACCUGCCUGAGUACUGAAAACUGUGGAGUUUCCCCCUUUUCUUCAGAAGUUUGUUUUCUGUUUACAACUUUACAGAGCAGGUGAGAUCAACAAAGGUCCGUACAAUGAAGAUUCGCAAAAACAGAUACAAUUUUAAGUAUAGAUUGAGAUAACAUAAUCACACAUUCAUGUUUUACACUGUCAUGGCUAAUGUCCUCUUUUAGGAAGCUUUUUCAGAUAGAUAUACAGAAAGUCUAAAAAAAGUGAUGAAUUUAGCAAUCUAUCUGCAUUAUGGGGCUCAGCUGCAAAUGUCUGGCUAAAAAAUCAUUAUUCACAUCACAUCAUUAUUUUUGACUUAUGGCAACUAAUGAAAUUAUGUUCAACAAACAUACUAAUUGAGUUAGGGGAAUUGUUUUUUCUCUAUAAUCAAAAGUGUUUUUAAUUACCAUUUACUUAAUAAUUAUAAGUAUAAACACCAGUUUUUAAGUUGAUUAGGCUACUCAUAAAAAUUAACUUGCUCCAAGUAGUUUUUCCACGCAUUUAUUUAAGUGGUGACAACAGGUCCACUGAAUUACUUUUUUGAGUGUAUCUGUUCUUUUGCCCAAUAACCAGAUUUACACCAACAAUAUGUGUGUAUUAAAACUUUUAUCAGAUAGUAAUUUGCAAUCAUUAUCUGUUAAUGUAUUUUUUUACUAAAAUCAGACUGUUACAACCUCCGAGGGAGCAUUUAAACGACAAUCAAAGAUAAAUUACAGUUUAAUGGAUAAAUAUUCAGUUAUCUGUGACUCAGCUGACUAACUGUUUAGGAUGAACAGCUCCAUUAUACCGUUCAAGUGCAGUGAUCAUAUAAUGCUAACCCUGCUUCAACACACAGCCAUGAGAACAACAGCAACAACAACAACAACAACUCGCCACUCAUAGAGGAAUAAUCAACCACAUCAUUGGACUGUGUGUCAACAAUUACAAGGCAGAGCAGUGCACUUUGUGGCUCUGAGUGCCGUGUGUAUAAUCGAAAGAUUGUAGGUUUGAAUGUGUCAAAGCCUAUGCUCUUGUAUGUAUUAUCUUUAUAUAAGCAUCAAGUGUCCUCAGGAGGAGAGAAAAAUUAGGAAAACCAAAAGCCAAUUUUAGAAAGGCUUUGUUUUAAAUUAAAGUGGGUGACAUCAAGUGAUAUUUGUGACAUUUUCACUUGACCAUCACACAAAUCAUAAAGACUGAUGUAAAUGAAGACUAUAUAAAGCUAUAAAAAAGCAAAGCAAAUGUGUAAUCUUGAAUUUUUGUCAUUUCAGGUGCGCUCGCUUUCAGUAUUCAAAUAAUCUGGCCAAUCUGAUCCCUGUCUUUUUAUCAGACUGUGUUGUCAGUUCUGAGCCAUGACUUUGGUGAGUUAUAACCCAAUAGAUAUCAUGGCUAAAUCUACAAAAACAAGUCCCAGUCUCUUUAAUCUGUGUACAAAUAACACGACUUCAUACUUUCAAAUUGUGUGCAGUGCAU
rnacentral:lncRNA from 15 species